CGCGCUCCGCGCUGGAAUGUAAGAUGGCAGAGUAGCAACGCGAAGCGGUUAACGCUGAGUCUCUGGGUAGACCUCGGUUCGGGUCUCGGCGGACCUCGGUUUGGGUCUCGGCGGCGGCGGCAGUGAUUGUGAUCGCUGAGCAAAGAGUGCCUACGGUAGUUGGCCAAGAUGCCGAAUAUCAAAAUCUUCAGCGGCAGCUCCCAUCAGGACUUGUCCCAGAAAAUCGCUGACCACCUGGGCCUGGAGCUAGGCAAGGUGGUGGCUAAGAAAUUCAGCAACCAGGAGACCUGCGUGGAAAUUGGCGAAAGUGUACGUGGAGAGGAUGUCUACAUCGUUCAGAGUGGCUGUGGCAAAAUUAACGACAGUCUAAUGGAGCUUCUGAUCAUGAUCAAUGCCUGCAAGAUCGCUUCAGCCAGCCAGGUUACUGCCGUCAUCCCAUGCUUCCCUUAUUCCCGGCAGGAUAAGAAGGAUAAGAGCCGUGCUCCCAUCUCAGCCAAGCUUGUUGCAAAUAUGCUGUCUGUAGCAGGCGCGGAUCAUAUCAUCACCAUGGACCUGCAUGCUUCUCAAAUUCAGGGCUUUUUUGAUAUCCCUGUGGACAAUUUGUACGCAGAGCCAGCUGUCCUGAAGUGGAUAAAGGAGAACAUUUCUGAGUGGAAAAACUGCACUAUUGUCUCUCCCGAUGCUGGGGGAGCUAAGAGAGUGACCUCCAUUGCAGACCGGUUGAAUGUGGACUUUGCCUUGAUUCACAAAGAACGGAAGAAGGCCAAUGAGGUGGACCGCAUGGUGCUGGUGGGAGACGUGAAGGAUCGGGUGGCCAUCCUGGUGGAUGACAUGGCUGACACUUGUGGCACAAUCUGCCAUGCAGCUGGCAAACUUCUCUCAGCUGGAGCCACCAGAGUUUAUGCCAUCUUGACUCACGGAAUCUUUUCUGGCCCAGCCAUUUCUCGCAUCGACAAUGCAUGCUUUGAAGCAGUAGUAGUCACCAACACCAUACCUCAGGAGGAUAACAUGAAGCUUUGCUCCAAAAUACAGGUGAUCGACAUCUCCAUGAUCCUUGCAGAAGCCAUCAGGAGAACGCACUAUGGGGAAUCUGUUUCCUAUCUCUUCAGCCAUGUGCCUUUAUAAAAGAAUAACUUCUGAGGAAAAAUAAACUGAACCCAGCGCCUUGUUUCCCUUGGUAUUUGAUGAAAAAUACAGCAGAAGACCCAGCUUGCUCCAGUAGCUUUCUACAUCCCAUGUCAGGUAUAUUAGCAUUUCUCCAAAAUUAAGAAACUGCCUGCAUUGCCUACCUGCAUUUUCUCAUUCUAGUUUCUUUGGUUUUGUGAACCUUGCAGCUUUAACUAUAGCUCUGAUGCUGCAAGGUUUCAUACUUUGAAGUGUGUUGUGUGGUGGGGGUGUUUGAAUGUGAUUGGGGAAACCCAAGCUACUUUGUAUGUGAAUGCUUCAGGGUUUCCUUGGUUCAGGACUAUUGGCACCAAAGCUAACUCAAUUCCCGUGUGUCCCGCCCCCACCCCCAAAUAACAUGUGACAAGUUCUCUAAGGUCUGUGCUAAAUUAGAAGAGCCCUGGGGAAGCCCAGAACCCAGCUCUGGUUGUUGAGUUCCCGUGAGGCGGGAAGCUCUCAGUGUAACAGUGAAAUGCUGGCUCAGUGCUCUGCUCUCCCUCCCGCGCUUCCCCCUACCCUUUCUGACUCAAGCUAAAUGGCUCCUGCUAUAGAAUUCUGCUUGAGGCUUGAAUAUUUUUCAAAACAGCCGCUUGUCAAAGUCUCUUGAAGAAGUGGGGAAAUAUGUACAAAACUGACUGUUUAUCAAAGAUUUACAGAAACCUCAAGAUGGACUCAUAAGCUGGGAGUCAACGAACCAACCCAGAACAAAGAAAUUUGGAGAUGUCACAUUGUUCCUUGGAUCCCUGUCUGCGCCUGACGGUCUAGAGUUCUCACCCACCUUUUGUCCUGCCCCUCCUCCCUUUCCUUGACAAAAAGAUGAUUGAACUAUUGAUAGAUGCAUUUUUAAAAUGGAUUUGCUGAUGUGUUAAAGCCCCCCAACUUCUCAGCUGGCACCUUCUUGAUCAAU